AUUGAACGCUGGCGGCAGGCCUAACACAUGCAAGUCGAACGAGUGGCGGACGGGUGAGUAAUUUCUUGGAAACUGGCUGAUGGAGGGGGAUAACUGGUGGAAAAGGUAGCUAAUACUGCAUACCAUGAGAUGUGCCCAGAUGGGAUUAGCUUGUUGGUGGGGUAACGGCUCACCAAGGCGACGCUCCCUAGCUGGGCUGAGAGGGUGACCAGCCACACUGGGACUGAGACACGGUCCAGACUCCUACGGGAGGCAGCAGUGGGGAAUCUUGCACAAUGGGCGCAAGUCUGAUGCAGCCAUGCCGCGUGUGUGAAGAAGGCCUUCGGGUUGUAAAGUACUUUCAGCAGGGAGGCGUUACCCGCAGAGGAAGCACCGGCUAACUCCGUGCCAGCAGCCGCGGUAAUUC
rnacentral:rRNA from 1 species